rnacentral:lncRNA from 1 species
UGAGGUUGCCAAAUCCCUGCCCGCUUUAUUAUCCUCCCGCGAUGAAUUUCUCCAUCUCAGCCAAAGCUCUUACCUACACCUGUGUCUCUUCUUGCUUCGUCCAUGUCUACAAGAUUAUAAAAUGUACCUCGAAUUCAAGUCAAAGAAAUGAAAGAGUUGAGGGAAUACAAACAGGAAUUGAACACUGUUCUAGACCUGGAAAAACUGAGAUCAACUGGGAUUAAAUGGUAUUUGGAUAAAUCCGGUGUUUCUUUUUUACCUCCUUAAAAUUUUGCAGGUCCAAGUGGAUUGUAUUGCAUGAGACAAAUAGCCUUAAUUCCAUUACCUUAUGAAUUUUCCUAGACAGUUGAUUCUACCCAUUGAUGUAUUGACUGUAAUUCUUCACUCUUGGGCAUACAUUUGGAAUUCCAGAAAAGCAAGACCCAAUUAUAUUAGGGCCAAGUCUCAACAGGAGCCUGAGUCUUGUGGUUGUCACCUCUUGCCACUCUAACACUAUUCCAUUCUGGACAAUUUCCUCACUAUCUCCUUGUCCACAGAGAUUUCACUUGAGACU